CAGAGUUCAUGCCCUUCGGGGUAGACCUCCCACCCUGUGUUAUUUAAGCAGGCCUGGAAAGAGAUGCGAAAGCUGUAGCAAUACAGUGGACGUCUCCCUGGAACGGUCUGCGACUUGUUGCUUUGGUCGGUCAGCCUUCGGGCCCCGGCCAGAGACCCCAAAAUUCUAUUUUUAAUGUCGUCUGAGUACUAUAUAAUAAGUUA
rnacentral:misc_RNA from 1 species